GGGUAAAGAAGGACGAUUUGGCAUCCCAGCACCUCAAGGACUGAAGGGAGAUCAGGGACUUCCUGGUACACCCGGUAAACGAGGAACGAUCCUGUAUGCAACCACCGGGAAGAACUCGAAGGAAUCACAUUCCUCCUUGGAAGAUCUUUUUGGAAAACACAAUGGGGUAACAACAUGGUGCUCUCAUGGCUCUACUCACUCGAGUGGAACAGCGAUUCUUAAAGGUGUGAA